UACGGAGGGGACUAGCGUUGUUCGGAAUUACUGGGCGUAAAGCGCGCGUAGGCGGACCUGCAAGUCGGGGGUGAAAGCCCGAGGCUCAACCUCGAAACUGCCUUCGAUACUGCGGGUCUCGAGUCCGGGAGAGGUGAGUGGAAUUCCUAGUGUAGAGGUGAAAUUCGUAGAUAUUAGGAAGAACACCAGUGGCGAAGGCGGCUCACUGGCCCGGUACUGACGCUGAGGCGCGAAAGCGUGGGGAGCGAACGGG
rnacentral:rRNA from 1 species